rnacentral:rRNA from 1 species
UGGGGAAUAUUGGACAAUGGGCGGAAGCCUGAUCCAGCAACGCCGCGUGAGGGAUGACUGCCUUCGGGUUGUAAACCUCUUUCAGCACAGACGAAGCGAAAGUGACGGUAUGUGCAGAAGAAGCACCGGCCAACUACGUGCCAGCAGCCGCGGUAAUACGUAGGGUGCGAGCGUUGUCCGGAAUUAUUGGGCGUAAAGGGCUCGUAGGCGGUUUGUCGCGUCGGGAGUGAAAACACACAGCUUAACUGUGUGCUUGCUUUCGAUACGGGCAGACUAGAGGUAUGCAGGGGAGAACGGAAUUCCUGGUGUAGCGGUGAAAUGCGCAGAUAUCAGGAGGAACACCGGUGGCGAAGGCGGUUCUCUGGGCAUUACCUGACGCUGAGGAGCGAAAGUGUGGGGAGCGAACA